rnacentral:rRNA from 1 species
UGCAGUCGAACGAAUCCCAGACCUGUAGCAAUACAGGGCUGGGGGAAGUGGCGAAAGGGGCAGUAAGGCGUGGGUAACCUACCUCCGGGACGUGGAUAGCCAUUCUAACGAGUGGGUAAUACGCGGCGAUUUGAUUGAGGGGCAUCCCUUGGUCAGGAAAUGAAUUUCGCCUGGAGAGGGGCUCACGUGAUAUUAGCUAGUUGGUAGGGUAACGGCCUACCAAGGCAAAGAUGUCUAGCGGGUGUGAGAGCACGACCCGCGCCACUGGCACUGAGACACUGGCCAGACACCUACGGGUGGCUGCAGUCGAGGAUCUUUGGCAAUGAGCGCAAGCUUGACCAAGCGACGCCGCGUGUGCGAUGAAGGCCUUCGGGUUGUAAAGCACUGUCGAGGGGGACGAAGCCGCAAGGUUGACCGAUCCCUGGAGGAAGCACGGGCUAAGUUCGUGCCAGCAGCCGCGGUAAGACGAACCGUGCGAACGUUGUUCGGAAUCACUGGGCUUAAAGGGCGCGUAGGCGGCUUGCCAAGUCAGUGGUGAAAUCCCGCAGCUUAACUGCGGAAGUGCCUUUGAUACUGGCGAGCUCGAGGGAGGUAGGGGUAUGUGGAACUUCUGGUGGAGCGGUGAAAUGCGUUGAUAUCAGAAGGAACGCCGGUGGCGAAAGCGACGUACUGGACCUCUUCUGACGCUGAGGCGCGAAAGCUAGGGGAGCAAACGGGAUUAGAUACCCCGGUAGUCCUAGCCCUAAACGAUGGGUACUAGUGUGGACUAACAUGGGUUCACAGCCGAAGCAAAAGUGUUAAGUACCCCGCCUGGGGAGUAUGGUCGCAAGGCUGAAACUCAAGGAAUUGACGGGGGCUCACACAAGCGG